GCUAGACUGUCCUUAGAAGUCUCACUUUCCCUGUUCUCCAGGUCUUUGAGUCCAUUCUUUGAUUUGAAUGGUAGAGAUGAUGUCUUGCCACAUUGCCCAGGCUGGUCUCAAACUCCAGGCCUAAAGGGAUCUUCUGACUUUGGCCUCCCAAAGUGCUGAGAUUAUAGGAUCGAGGCUAUCAAGCUACAGAUGAUCUUACAAAUGGAACCCCAAAUGAGCUCAACUAACAACUACCAAGGACCCCUGGACCAACCCGCUGGCCCUUUCAAUGGCCUAAAGAGUUCCCCUCUGGAGGACACUACAACUGCAGGGUCCUUUCUUUGCCCCUAUCCAGCAGGAAGUAGCUAGAGUGGUCAUCACCCAAUUCCCAACAGCAGUUGGGGUGUCUUGUUAAGUGGGGAGAUUGAGAGGUGAAGCCAGCUGGGCUUCUGGGUUGGGUGGGGACUUGGAGAACUUUUCUGUCUAGCUAGAGGAUUGUAAACACACCAAUCAGUGCUAUGUGUCUAGCUAGAGGUUUGUAAAUGCACCAAUCAGCACUCUGUAAAAACGGACCAAUCAGCACUCUGUAAAAUGGACCAAUCAGUAGGAUGCGGGCAGGGCCAAAUAAGGGAAUAAAAGCUGGCCACCUGAGUCAGCAGUGGCAACCCACUCGGGUCCCCUUCCAUGCUGUGGAAGCUUUGUUCUUUCACUCUUCACAAUAAAUCUUGCUGCUGCUCACUCUUUGGGUCCACACCACCUUUAUGAGCUGCAACACUCACUGCGAAGGUCUUCAGCUUCACUCCUGAAGUCAGCGAGACCACGAACCCAUGGGGAGGAACAAUCGACUUCAGACAUGCCACCUUUAAGAGCUGUAACACUCACUGCGAAGGUCUGUGGCUUCACUCCUGAAGUCAGCAAGACCACGAACCCACUGGAAGGAAGAAAUUUCGGACACAUCUGAACAUCUGAAUGAACAAACUCUGGACACGCCAUCUUUAAGAACUGUAACACUCACUGUGAGGGUUCAUGGGUUCAUUCUUGAAGUCAGCAAGACCAAGAACCCACCAGAAGGAACCAAUUCCGGACACAGACUCACUGCAACCUCCACCUCCUGGAUUCAAGUGAUUCUCCUGCCUCAGCCUCCGGAGUAGCUGUGCCUACAGGCACAAGCCACCACACACGGCUAAUUUUUUGUAUUUUUAGUAGAGAUGGGGUUUCACCAUGUUGCUCAGGCUGGUCUCCAACUCCUGAGCUCAAGUGAUCCACCUGUCUCGGCCUCCCAAAGUGUUGGGAUACAUGUGUGAGCCACUGUGCCCGGCCUCCUCUGGAUUAGUUCUUACAGGAAUAGAUUAGUUCUUGCUCGAGCAAGUUGUUAUAAAAGUGAGGUUGCCUCUAGUGUUUUGCAUCCUCACAUAUGUCUGCUUACCUCUUGACCUCUCUCUGUGUUAUGACCCAGCACAAAAGCCCUUACCAGAAGCCAAGCAGAUGCUGAUGCCACACCCCUUGGACUUCUCAGUCUACAGAGCCAUGAAACGAAUAAACCUCUCUUUAUAAAUUA
rnacentral:lncRNA from 1 species